rnacentral:tRNA from 1 species
CCUCCUUAAACGAUUGUGAAGCCACCCUUCAAGUGUUCACACAUCUGUCUUUAUCUGUGCGGUUGAUGCGAUGGCAGCCAUUGGGCUGUCGAGAGUGUGCCACGAAGCUCUGAGUCAACGGUUACGCGCCGCAGGCGGCAGAACUGGCAAGGCGAUGCGUAUGCCCGGGUCUGAUAGCAGGCCAUCAAACAGGCAGCGCGGCAGGCGAGUCACGUUAGGCCUGUAGCUCAGUUGGUUAGAGCGCACCCCUGAUAAGGGUGAGGUCGGCAGUUCAAGUCUGCCCAGGCCUACCAAGUUUUCUGGGGCUAUAGCUCAGCUGGGAGAGCGCCUGCUUUGCACGCAGGAGGUCUGCGGUUCGAUCCCGCAUAGCUCCACCACUUUCACUUGCAUCGAAUUCAGACAAAGGCGCAUACGGUGUUGCCCUUGUCUGGUUUCGACAACCAGAAUGCUCUUUAACAAGGUAAAUCAAGCUGAAUUCUCUGAAUCACCAACCCCGCAGUAAGGUUCCGCUUUUACUGUUGGUGAUGAUUUCAGGGAUUAAAAAAGUUCUCAAGGCACCGUCUUAAUUUCCGGUGCCU